rnacentral:rRNA from 2 species
CAGUCGAGCGGACAGAUGGGAGCUUGCUCCCUGAUGUUAGCGGCGGACGGGUGAGUAACACGUGGGUAACCUGCCUGUAAGACUGGGAUAACUCCGGGAAACCGGGGCUAAUACCGGAUGGUUGUCUGAACCGCAUGGUUCAGACAUAAAAGGUGGCUUCGGCUACCACUUACAGAUGGACCCGCGGCGCAUUAGCUAGUUGGUGAGGUAACGGCUCACCAAGGCGACGAUGCGUAGCCGACCUGAGAGGGUGAUCGGCCACACUGGGACUGAGACACGGCCCAGACUCCUACGGGAGGCAGCAGUAGGGAAUCUUCCGCAAUGGACGAAAGUCUGACGGAGCAACGCCGCGUGAGUGAUGAAGGUUUUCGGAUCGUAAAGCUCUGUUGUUAGGGAAGAACAAGUGCCGUUCAAAUAGGGCGGCACCUUGACGGUACCUAACCAGAAAGCCACGGCUAACUACGUGCCAGCAGCCGCGGUAAUACGUAGGUGGCAAGCGUUGUCCGGAAUUAUUGGGCGUAAAGGGCUCGCAGGCGGUUUCUUAAGUCUGAUGUGAAAGCCCCCGGCUCAACCGGGGAGGGUCAUUGGAAACUGGGGAACUUGAGUGCAGAAGAGGAGAGUGGAAUUCCACGUGUAGCGGUGAAAUGCGUAGAGAUGUGGAGGAACACCAGUGGCGAAGGCGACUCUCUGGUCUGUAACUGACGCUGAGGAGCGAAAGCGUGGGGAGCGAACAGGAUUAGAUACCCUGGUAGUCCACGCCGUAAACGAUGAGUGCUAAGUGUUAGGGGGUUUCCGCCCCUUAGUGCUGCAGCUAACGCAUUAAGCACUCCGCCUGGGGAGUACGGUCGCAAGACUGAAACUCAAAGGAAUUGACGGGGGCCCGCACAAGCGGUGGAGCAUGUGGUUUAAUUCGAAGCAACGCGAAGAACCUUACCAGGUCUUGACAUCCUCUGACAAUCCUAGAGAUAGGACGUCCCCUUCGGGG